ACGAACCGCUGGCGGCAGGCCUAACACAUGCAAGUCGAGCGCACCUUCGGGUGAGCGGCGGACGGGUUAGUAACGCGUGGGAACGUACCCUUUUCUACGGAAUAGCCUUUGGAAACGAAGAGUAAUACCGUAUACGCCCUUUGGGGGAAAGAUUUAUCGGAGAAGGAUCGGCCCGCGUUAGAUUAGAUAGUUGGUGGGGUAACGGCCUACCAAGUCUACGAUCUAUAGCUGGUUUUAGAGGAUGAUCAGCAACACUGGGACUGAGACACGGCCCAGACUCCUACGGGAGGCAGCAGUGGGGAAUCUUAGACAAUGGGCGCAAGCCUGAUCUAGCCAUGCCGCGUGAGUGAUGAAGGCCUUAGGGUCGUAAAGCUCUUUCGCCUGUGAUGAUAAUGACAGUAGCAGGUAAAGAAACCCCGGCUAACUCCGUGCCAGCAGCCGCGGUAAUACGGAGGGGGUUAGCGUUGUUCGGAAUUACUGGGCGUAAAGCGCACGUAGGCGGAUUGGAAAGUUGGGGGUGAAAUCCCGGGGCUCAACCCCGGAACUGCCUCCAAAACUAUCAGUCUAGAGUUCGAGAGAGGUGAGUGGAAUUCCAAGUGUAGAGGUGAAAUUCGUAGAUAUUUGGAGGAACACCAGUGGCGAAGGCGGCUCACUGGCUCGAUACUGACGCUGA
rnacentral:rRNA from 1 species